rnacentral:rRNA from 1 species
AAAUUGAAGAGUUUGAUCAUGGCUCAGAUUGAACGCUGGCGGCAGGCCUAACACAUGCAAGUCGAACGGUAACAGGAAGCAGCUUGCUGCUUCGCUGACGAGUGGCGGACGGGUGAGUAAUGUCUGGGAAACUGCCUGAUGGAGGGGGAUAACUACUGGAAACGGUAGCUAAUACCGCAUAACGUCGCAAGACCAAAGAGGGGGACCUUCGGGCCUCUUGCCAUCGGAUGUGCCCAGAUGGGAUUAGCUUGUUGGUGGGGUAACGGCUCACCAAGGCGACGAUCCCUAGCUGGUCUGAGAGGAUGACCAGCCACACUG